GACGAACGCUGGCGGCGUGCCUAAUACAUGCAAGUAGAACGCUGAAGCGAGGAGCUUGCUCUUCUUGGAUGAGUUGCGAACGGGUGAGUAACGCGUAGGUAACCUGCCUUGUAGCGGGGGAUAACUAUUGGAAACGAUAGCUAAUACCGCAUAACAAUGGAUGACACAUGUCAUUUAUUUGAAAGGGGCAAUUGCUCCACUACAAGAUGGACCUGCGUUGUAUUAGCUAGUAGGUGAGGUAACGGCUCACCUAGGCGACGAUACAUAGCCGACCUGAGAGGGUGAUCGGCCACACUGGGACUGAGACACGGCCCAGACGCCUACGGGAGGCAGCAGUAGGGAAUCUUCGGCAAUGGGGGCAACCCUGACCGAGCAACGCCGCGUGAGUGAAGAAGGUUUUCGGAUCGUAAAGCUCUGUUGUAAGUCAAGAACGAGUGUGAGAGUGGAAAGUUCACACUGUGACGGUAGCUUACCAGAAAGGGACGGCUAACUACGUG
rnacentral:rRNA from 1 species